ACAUAAAGUGGGGAUAGCCUUUUGGGAAAUAGAGAUUGGGUAGGCGGGGUAGUCUGCCUGGCCAAUGGGAAGUUUGAUUCCCAUGAAUGUUUAGACCAAUCAGAGAGCGGAAUGCCACAGAGGCUCCACCUUCUUUCCCGUGUUGGCAGCGUUGAUUGUGAGCGGGAGAUCCGACCCUGAUCAGACAGCUGAGCCAGAAACCACUAAGAUCAGUUGGAACUGUUGCACUUUCUGGCAGUUGAUUGGCAGUUGUUUUCAGUUCAACUGAAGUGCCCUCCGUGUCUGGAAUGAGAGUCCCUGUCUAGUUGUUUUGAACGUGCCGCACUGAGAUCGGUGAGCAUAUUUUGUACCUUUCAUUUGGUUUUUGUUCUUUUAUCUUGUUGUCAAAUAAUGAUCUUUAUUUGAC